GAGUUUGAUCGUGGCUCAGGACGAAACGCUGGCGGCGUGCCUAAUACAUGCAAGUCGAGCGAGUCUGCCUUGAAGAUCGGAGUGCUUGCACUCUGUGAAACAAGAUACAGGCUAGCGGCGGACGGGUGAGUAACACGUGGGUAACCUGCCCAAGAGAUCGGGAUAACACCUGGAAACAGAUGCUAAUACCGGAUAACAACAGAUGAUGCCUAUCAACUGUUUAAAAGAUAGGUUCUGCUAUCACUCUUGGAUGGACCUGCGGUGCAUUAGCUAGUUGGUAGGGUAACGGCCUACCAAGGCGAUGAUGCAUAGCCGAGUUGAGAGACUGAUCGGCCACAUUGGGACUGAGACACGGCCCAAACUCCGUACGGGA
rnacentral:rRNA from 1 species